CGGCUCCCGGCUUAGCCCGAUCUGGAGGUGGAAGGCAACGCCGCCGCCGGCAGCAGCCCCCGGCGGCGGCAACGGGCUGGGCGGCCGGAUCAGCGGAGGGGCGCUCAUCGAAAACUUCCCGCCGGAGCCAAGAGGUACUGAAUUGAUGUUUAAAGUGAACUGCAUGCUCCCAUAACUUCUCUCCUGAAGCAGACACCAUUGGGGAGGAAGCUCUUUGGUUCAAAAGCAGAGCAUUGAAAAAAAAAAUUAGCCAAGGAAGAGGGAGGGAAAACAGACUGGUAAAUACAAUGGAAUGAAAUUUGGGAAGAAAUGUGGAGUCUGUGAUGGAAAAUAAGAGGACAUCAGAGUUGGAAAUGCAAAUGUCACUGGAUCUGGGGAUCACCUCCCUUCUAGUCAGUACUGAAGAAACAGUUAAGACAAUGUAUGUUCCACAACAGUAAAGGAUCCAUGGUGAUGUGAUGAUUAAG